GCCGCCGCCACCCUCUCCGUCGCAUCCCCCCGACCCUCCGUCACGGGGAUCGUCGGGAGAGCCACAAAAUAUGAGUUGAAAGUCAUACAACGGUAUUUACAUAAAGCCAUCUGUUCUCAUUAAGCAACAAUGUUCAGAUAGAAAGCAAAUAUGUUUGUGUUAUCCAUCAGUUGCUUGUUACUGGAUACCUAAAAGAAAGAUUAAUGGUAUAUUGUCUGCAACUAGGUUCAAAUCAAAUUCAGUAUUUGGGAAUUUCUAUCUCCUAGUGGCUAAUCCAGGUAUACCCCUGUCAAAGGAAAAUACCAAGUCCUACCGGAUUUUUGUGUGUUCAGUACUGCCUGCUCACUGUCAAUAGAGCCGCAUGGCCAUGCAAAAGUGAAGAGCUUAUGCUAAUUUUAGUUGUUACAUAUGUAAAUAAGGUUGGCGGUUUUGACUGUAGAGGAAGAUAUGGCCCUUAGCUCAUUGCUGACAUGGAUACAUGAUCAACUCCCCAGUAUGUAUGACCAGUCUUCACAUGGUGUCUCUGACUUUUGCUUAAAUGCAGCGUUCCUGCUUUGUUCAUAAGGACAGUUGGUCUCCACUGCCAUUCAACUGUUGAUACAUCAACAUCUUCAGAGUCAGUCGCAUAUCGUUGGACAGAAGGAGGCAUUGAGAAAUCUGAAGGUAGUUUGAUAGUGUAGAUGGCCAAAGGUAAACCAAUAGCUUUAGCAUCAGCCAACAAGAGCGUACUAAGCUCUAUGCCGCCGAUCAGUUCUUCAUCUGACAGUGCGGCUUCAAGCAUGAUAAAGUCAUUGAGAUCCCGAUAGUGGCAGCGAAGCGGAAGUUGCCCCUGGUGGCGAGGUGCAGUGCGGUGGACAUUCUGGCGGCAAGUUGCAGAGUUGAUUUCCACGAUGUGAACAGUCAAAAAUUAUAAGGUGAAGCCUGUAAUAUAUGAGGAUGGGGCACUAGUUAUCUUUAAUUAUGAGAAUGUGACCACAUCAUGUUCUUGUAGAAGAUACGAAUCCAAAGGUUUGUUGUGAUGGGAGGAUAUACAGACCUUCUACUUCAAAAUGAUUGAUCGUCAUAGCUGCUGCACCCUUAGAUAAGAAUGGAUUUUGAUGUAGUGAAUCUCAGAAAAUGGAAGGAGUAGGCAUAGCAAUAAUUUUGAUCGUCCGGGGGAUCGCUAGCAGAGUUACGGACCCGUCCCCUCCGUCGCUGGGAUCGCUGAUGCUGCAGCGACCAGGACAUCAUGAUGAGAUUGUCGAUGACUUGGCUGUCCUUAUGGAGUCGCCCAGUAACUGGUCACAUUGCGGUCCGCUCUAAAUGUUAUGUCUGAGUCUGCUCCCAAAGUUCAGUUUGUGUAUCUUUCUCACUGUUGUAAUGUUGUAAAGAGCUGUAUGUAUGUGAUGCUUCUGACCUCUGAGUCUGUUUGUUUCGUGACUCAGUUGCAAAGAUACAAAAAGUAGAGCUAAAUAUGACAGCAUCAAAAGUUCCAGAUGUAAUUUAAAUUUUAUAUGAGGAUCUUAAUUGUUUGUGUGUGUUUCA